rnacentral:rRNA from 1 species
CCUGACGCAGCGACGCCGCGUGAGCGAAGAAGGCCUUCGGGUCGUAAAGCUCUGUCUAGGGGGAAGAGAAAGGACGGUACCUCUGGAGGAAGCCACGGCUAACUACGUGCCAGCAGCCGCGGUAAUACGUAGGUGGCGAGCGUUGUCCGGAAUUACUGGGCGUAAAGGGCGCGCAGGCGGCGCGUUAAGUCCGGGGUGAAAUCCAUCGGCUCAACCGGUGGGGGACCUUGGAUACUGGCGCACUGGAGUGCGGGAGAGGGAAGCGGAAUUCCACGUGUAACGGUGAAAUGUAUAGAUAUGUGGAGGAACACCGGUGGCGAAGGCGGCUUCCUGGACCGUAACUGACGCUGAGGCGCGAAAGCUGGGGGAGCGAACAGGAUUAGAUACCCUGGUAGUCCCAGCCGUAAACGAUGAACACUAGGUGUGGGGGGUAUCGACCCCUUCCGUGCCGCAGCCAACGCAAUAAGUGUUCCGCCUGGGGAGUACGGCCGCAAGGUUGAAACUCAAAGGAAUUGACGGGGGUUAUUGAUUCAGCCGUACCAGCUUGGCUAAUCUGGUCAUACUUUUUUUCUGAA